ensembl:lncRNA
GCAGAAGGGAAACUUGGAAUUUUGGGGUUUGUGCCUUAGUUGAUGUGACACCAUCUUUUUUAAGAUUUAGACACUGUCGAAAAUACUGGGAACAUUUCAAAAUGUAGAAUUUUUCUAAGAAGCUGGACAGGAGGCGUUCCUGAUCCUUACAAUAUGUAAUACCUAGAAGCAGGCUGCGUGCUGCUGAGGGCUUACUGUAAUCGCCCUGCCAAUGCAUUAAUUGACUUACAGCUGCUCGGUGCGGAUGGCCAGACANCUGUCUCCCGCCUCCUCUGCCGCCUUCGCCACCGCUUGCUCUGCCUGUCACAGGCAGAGGUGAGGGAGUUCUUUAAUGAGCAAGCCCAGCAAAAACCUCCGUCCAGUGCUGGGGUCCCAGGGCCGGUUUCCUUCACUGGUGCAGAAGAUGAUGCCAGGCGAGGAGGGGUUUGCUCUGCAGCUGCAGGAGGAAGGCCGAGGCCAGGAUGUGGGACACCGGGUUCGCUUCCUGCUGCCGCACACAACCAUCCUAGAGCCAUCACCCCAGCAGGAGGAACUGCUUUUCUACCAGCGUCUGGAGUCCUUGCUGGAAGCUGCUGGAGGAAGCGUAGAGGAGCUCUUUACUGCCNUGGGCUGGGAAGACCUCAUAGAGGACAAAGGUCUGAGGAAGUGGCUGGUGCGCUGCGGCCAAGGAGAAGACAGCAGGCCACGUCCAGGCCAGGAGGUGACCGUGAAGCUGCUGGGCGUGCUGGAGGACCAGAGCCUGGUGGAAAGGGACCCCAAGCACACCUUUGUCCUGGGCCAAGGGGAGGCAAUAGAGGUCAGGAGCGGCUGUGGGAGAGGAACCUGUUGAGGAGGGGGGCAAGGCCACCCCUCACCCUUACACUGACUUUUUCCCACCAUUCCAGAUCCCAGGCAGGAGUCUGCCAGGCUAUUCCUCAUAGCAUCUUUGGAGACUUUUGUGCGUCUUUCCCAAGUCACACUGCAGUUGUCUCGCCAUGCAUGGGAGGGGGCUUCAGUAGAUGUGCAGGGGGAGGCAAGGCCAGGCUUUGCGCAGCCCCAGCGUCCAGCUCUGCUCUUGGCCUGCCUGCUCCUAUCAGAAGUGCAGAGAUGGCUGUAGGUGCCAAUUGUGGGGANAAGUUGGGAGUGGGCCCUCUCUCUUCCAGGGCAGGCAGUUCUCUCCUCUGCCAAAGCCCUGAUCUCUAGGGUGAAGGCAAAUGGAUUUCCACCCAGAUUCCCUCCCUAGUUGCAAUGGCAGGUGCAGCUCACAUCAAGUCCGUUUUGUUCCCUUCUGACCCUGAAUCCCAGUGCAGUGGGCCUCAUGAGCCCCAGGGCCUCUGACUGGUGAGCAAUCGCAGCCUCUGGUACCUCAGUAGGUGGGGCAGAUGUGUUUCUCCAGGUCAGGGAAAGUGGCGAAGCCCAGUCUGCUCACAGCACAGACUGCUGCUGCCCGUUUCUCUCUUUAGGCCUUGGAACUUGGCGUUCCAUCCAUGCAGCUCGGAGAAGUGGCUUUUUUCCUCGCCCGCCCUGCAUGUGCCUACGGUCCCUUGGGCAGGUAGGGCGACCAGCUGAAGCUGCAGCCUGGUGCUG